rnacentral:rRNA from 1 species
AUUGAACGCUGGCGGCAGGCCUAACACAUGCAAGUCGAGCGGCAGCGGGACCUUCGGGUUGCCGGCGAGCGGCGGACGGGUGAGUAAUGCCUAGGAAUCUGCCCGAUAGUGGGGGACAACGUUUCGAAAGGAACGCUAAUACCGCAUACGUCCUACGGGAGAAAGUGGGGGCUCUUCGGACCUCACGCUAUCGGAUGAGCCUAGGUCGGAUUAGCUAGUUGGUGGGGUAAAGGCUCACCAAGGCGACGAUCCGUAACUGGUCUGCGAGGAUGAUGAGUCACAGUGGAACGGAGACGCGGUCCAGACUCCUACGGGAGGCAGCAGUGGGGAAUAGUGGACAAUGGGCGAAAGCCUGAUCCAGCCAUGCCGCGUGUGUGAAGAAGGUCUUCGGGUUGUAAAGCACUUUAAGUCGGGAGGAAGGGCUGCAGGUUAAUACCUUGCAACAUUGACGUUACCGACAGAAUAAGCGCCGGCUAACUUCGUGCCAGCCGCCGCCGUAA